UUAUGGCCAUAUCACGCUGAAACAUUGGUUCCCGUGCGGUCACUGAAGUUAAGCAACGUCGGGCCUGGUUAGUAUCUAGAUAAGUGACCACUUGGGAAUACCAGGUGCUGGAA